AGUUGUUUUCUAAUUUAACAGAAGAUGAGCAUCACGUUGUUUGGUUCUGGCUAGAGAAGGGCAAGCCACAUGAAUGCCCAGUAUGCACACAGUAUUUUGUAGUCAUGAAAGUUCCCAGGUCAUGAAAGAGUUUUUAUCUUUCAGGAGCAUACUUAUGUUCAACUGCCAGGAUUCAGAUUUCAGCCCAAUCUCAUACAAAUGUUGGAGUACCUACAAUCUUUGUACUUUUGUCUUUCCUGCAAACUACUCGUGUAACUUUGUUCUACAAAUGAAUGUAAUAUACUAUGAACCAUGUUAUGUUAAUAUUUAGUUUAAUGAUCUCUCCUUUAUUUGCA